AUUGAACGCUGGCGGCAGGCCUAACACAUGCAAGUCGAGCGGAUGAAGGGAGCUUGCUCCUGGAUUCAGCGGCGGACGGGUGAGUAAUGCCUAGGAAUCUGCCUGGUAGUGGGGGAUAACGUCCGGAAACGGGCGCUAAUACCGCAUACGUCCUGAGGGAGAAAGUGGGGGAUCUUCGGACCUCACGCUAUCAGAUGAGCCUAGGUCGGAUUAGCUAGUUGGUGGGGUAAAGGCCUACCAAGGCGACGAUCCGUAACUGGUCUGAGAGGAUGAUCAGUCACACUGGACAUAGGACACGGUCCAGACCCCUAGGGGGGGCAGCAGUGGGGAAUAUUGGACAAUGGGCGAAAGCCUGAUCCAGCCAUGCCGCGUGUGUGAAGAAGGUCUUCGGAUUGUAAAGCACUUUAAGUUGGGAGGAAGGGCAGUAAGUUAAUACCUUGCUGUUUUGACGUUACCAACAGAAUAAGCACCGGCUAACUUCGU
rnacentral:rRNA from 1 species